UACGUAGGGUGCAAGCGUUGUCCGGAUUUAUUGGGCGUAAAGAGCUCGUAGGCGGUCUGUCGCGUCGGAUGUGAAAACCCAGGGCUCAACCCUGGGCCUGCAUUCGAUACGGGCAGACUAGAGUACGGCAGGGGAGACUGGAAUUCCCGGUGUAGAGGUGAAAUUCGUAGAUAUCGGGAGGAACACCAGUGGCGAAGGCGGCGACUGGACGGACACUGACGCUGAGACGCGAAAGCGUGGGGAGCAAACAGG
rnacentral:rRNA from 1 species